CACGAACACUGGCGGCAGGCUUAACACAUGCAAGUCGAGCGCCCCGCAAGGGGAGCGGCAGACGGGUGAGUAACGCGUGGGAAUCUACCCAUCCCUACGGAAUAACGCAUGGAAACGUGUGCUAAUACCGUAUACGUCCUUCGGGAGAAAGAUUUAUCGGAGAUGGAUGAGCCCGCGUUGGAUUAGCUAGUUGGUGGGGUAAAGGCCUACCAAGGCGACGAUCCAUAGCUGGUCUGAGAGGAUGAUCAGCCACACUGGGACUGAGACACGGCCCAGACUCCUACGGGAGGCAGCAGUGGGGAAUAUUGGACAAUGGGCGCAAGCUUGAUCCAGCCAUGCCGCGUGAGUGAUGAAGGCCCUAGGGUUGUAAAGCUCUUUCACCGGUGAAGAUAAUGACGGUAACCGGAGAAGAAGCCCCGGCUAACUUCGUGCCAGCCGCCGCAGUAACAC
rnacentral:rRNA from 1 species